UUGGAGGGCAAGUCUGGUGCCAGCAGCCGCGGUAAUUCCAGCUCCAAUAGCGUAUAUUAAAGUUGUUGCAGUUAAAAAGCUCGUAGUUGAAUUUCGGAAUUUUUUUAUCGGUUGAACCAACAGGUUCGUACUGAUUUUAAGAAUUUCUACCUUCUGGAGAACCUUAAUGUCAUUUAUUUGAUGUUUUGGGAAACCAGGACUGUUACCUUGAAGAAAUUAGAGUGUUUAAAGCAGGCUUAUGUCUGAAUAUAUUAGCAUGGAAUAAUGAAAUAGGACGGCAUGGUUCUAUUUUGUUGGUUUCUAGGAUCACCGUAAUGAUUAAUAGGGAUAGUUGGGGGCAUUAGUAUUCAAUUGUCAGAGGUGAAAUUCUUGGAUUUAUUGAAGACUAACUUCUGCGAAAGCAUUUGCCAAGGAUGUUUUCAUUAAUCAAGAACGAAAGUUAGGGGAUCGAAGACGAUCAGAUACCGUCGUAGUCUUAACCAUAAACUAUGCCGACUAGGGAUCGGACGAUGUUAAUUUUUUAAUGGCUCGUUCGGCGCCUUACGGGAAAC
rnacentral:rRNA from 1 species